rnacentral:lncRNA from 1 species
GAUCUUGUGAAUUUCCAAACUGAAAGAAUCCAGCUUCAAAAGUUCCAGCAGAAGAAACCAUGGUCCUAUUGCCUUGGAUUGAUUCAUUUGGAGUAAGAGUAAGGGUGCCUUGUGUAGAUAAUAGGAACGUGGAGAUGAUGCAGAAAAAGAAAACGCGUACCAUUGUUAACUUUCUGUGCUUAUGAUGUUUUUCCAUGGUUACAAACCUCCAUUAAACACUGGAAGAAAAUGGUUAUCCAAGUCUCUAAGACGUGCCUGAUGUCUUGAAAAGUCUUCUAGAUAACAUUGAGGCUGCAUUUUUAGACCAACAUCACUGUAACAAAUAAAUUAAGAAAUUGUCUAAUGUUGAA